rnacentral:rRNA from 1 species
UACGUAGGUGGCAAGCGUUGUCCGGAUUCACUGGGCGUAAAGCGCGCGCAGGCGGUCUUCUGCGUCUGGGGUGAAAACCCGGGGCUCAACCUCGGGACUGCCUUGGAUACGGGAAGACUUGAGGAUCGGAGAGGCAAGGGGAAUUCCACGUGUAGCGGUGAAAUGCGUAGAGAUGUGGAGGAACACCUGUGGCGAAGGCGCCUUGCUGGCCGAUUUCUGACGCUGAGGCGCGAAAGCGUGGGGAGCAAACAGG